GGGCCCAUAGCUCAGUUGUAGAGCAAUUGACUGCAGAUCAAUAGGUCACCGGUUGGGCCCU
rnacentral:tRNA from 1 species